rnacentral:lncRNA from 1 species
GGCAUCCCUGGGCUCAUCAUGGUGCUGCUGUGCAGGGAUCCUCUGGGGGCCUUUCCAUUAUCCAAACUCCCCCCAGAUCUGCACAAGCUCCAUGCUUAACUCCUGCCUUUGCCAAAUUGGGUUGAGAUUGACUCUCUGGCUGAAACUGUCUGGGGGAAGAGGCAGUGGAGAGCUCAGACUGCCAUGCCCUGUGUCCUUGGGGAAGCAGAGCUGUGCCAGGUGGGGAGCAGCAGCUCCACAGGGAGCAGGGCAGUAUCCAUCAAGUCACCUGGGCAGAGAAGGGAGCCACGACUGGGUCCCUUUUGGUAUAACACAGCAACACUUCUCUAACAUCCAUUUUUCAAUUCAUAGUACUGCCUGCUAAUAACAACUAAAACUUUCCUCACUGGACCCCUGACUCAGUGCUCAUGCCAGGACUAUUGCCCUGAUUUGAUAGCAGCUAUUGAAGGAAAUAAAAAGGACAGCUUUGGAGCAGUCUCGUCAGGCAGCAUGAUGACUCUUGGCAGCAGGAGAACCAUUUUGCCUUUCUGGAAACUGCUGGUCAGACCCAGGGUCUCAACAAACAAAGUACCAUUUUUUCCCUCAUAGCUGGCUGUCAGGGACUCAUGGGAAGGGUCCCCUCAGUGGGAAGCAAAUAAAGCAGAGCUCACACGCCAGCUGAGACUAAGACAAGGCACUGCAUGGAUCUCUGGUCAAACGUGGCAUGAUGUAAGUGACUGCUCUGAAGUGAAAGCAACUGUUCAGAGAGAGAGAGAGAGCUGAAGCAAUGUUGUGGGAACUGCUCUGCAGGGCCUAGCCCAUGGUGAUGGGAGCCAUGGACACCUUCUUCAGGAGGUGUUUGGGGCCAUGGAGUCACCCAGUCCACCCUCCCUGCUCAGGGAUGGAGUUUGGCAUGUCUGGAGUGCAGAGCUGGUACCUGGGGUUUGUGUUCAUUGGUUCCAUCUGGGCUCUGAACCACAGACUCAACGUGUAACCUCUGCUUCUGUGUCCUCACUGAUACGGGCUCAAGGGGAAAACAUCCAUUUCUGUGCUAAAGACAAGGCUGCAGGAACAGAAGAGCUGCAUCUUGGAAGAAAGGUGCUGCUGCUCUCAGGAUGUGCCCCAGCAAGAAGAGAGAAUGAGCACCUUGAGCUCGAGCGCUGCCGACUGCAGGGUGGCUGGAGUUGGGUGUUCUGCUCACAGGCAGAAGAAAACCACUUCAAGACAUCAAGAUGAAACUGGAUUUAUGGAUAAAAACGGCCAAAUGACAUCUGAAAAUUUUGUUUCCCUUUGAAAUUCUUGAUGCAUUUCAGCAUCUCCAGGAGGGCAUCUCCUCUCUUGUGUUGCCAGGUGAUGUGUCAUUAAUAUAUAUUGAUUUUUUUUUUUUUAAUGGGGAAUUAAAGUAUUGUUGUGGUGUGAG